UUAAUACUCCCUCCGAUCCAUAUUACUACUUGUCUUAGAUUUGUCUAGAUACCGAUGUAUCUAACACUAAAAUGUGUCUAGAUACAUCCGUUUCUAGAUAAACCUAAGUUAAGCAAUAUGGAUCGGAGGGAGUACAUC
rfam:Hordeum vulgare subsp. vulgare, WGS project CAJW01000000 data, contig: morex_contig_45770